AGAUUCCACAACCUCCCUUGGUAAUUUGUUCCAGUGCUUAACAACCCUGAGAAUCAGGAAGUUUUUCCUAAUGUCCAACCUAAACUGCCCUUGCUGCAAUUUUAGCCCGUUGCUUCUUGUCCUCAGGAUCAGAACUCAGAUCUUCCUACUCUGCCCAUGAUAGCCCCAGCCCGCUGUGUUACAGGAGAAUCAUGGUGGUUCAUUCGCUUCGUGGUCACUUUUAAUAUUUCUCUUCCCCAGUCAGUUUCACUUUGAGUUCCCCUCUGGGCGGGGGAGGGAGGUGAUAAGAUUUAAAUAUUGAAACCAGACCCGCAAAAAUCCUAUUUUCCAGAGCGAUGAAAACAGUCUAGAAAACAGAGAGCCUAGAGCAGGGGUAAAAAAGCCCUUUAAAGAAAUGUGAGAGUGACUUGUUUUAGCGUGGUCUAUGUUGUUUGAGAGUCCUAGAAGCCUUUGUCCAGCAAGGGGCAGGCGCCUGGUGAUGGGAAAUAGCUGACUUCCCCUAUAGCUGCCCAGUCUCUGUCCUCUGCCAGAGGGUGUGGGUUGCUCUCUGGGGCUAGGGCAGAUGUGUGACAGCUCUUGCUUUUAGCCCUGGGGUGGGUCUCCGGUUCCGUGCCCCAGGGUGUCAGCUGAGAUGGCGGCCGGGCUUUGAGGGGGAUCAAAGUGGGGCCUAGGUUGUUAGAUAGAUACAGCAUCUGAGAGUUCGCUCCGCUCGGCUGUUACCUGCCCCUCGCUGAUGCUUAUCUGAAGCACAUACCAUAGUCCUUACAAAGGGGCUCUGAGGGUGGGGAGUGAGGGGCAUUGGAAGAGCUCAGGGGGGAGCCCAGGGCUGGGAGAGCAGGGGGCUGUGGGUCAGGAUUGAGGGGCACCGGCACAGGUGGGGUCGAACUUUCACAGCAUCUGCCUAGCACAGGCCCCCGCUGCACUGAAUUUACUUGCGAGCCGUCUUGUCUCUAGGUGGGGGACGGGGCUGUGAGUCCCGGAGUAGAGGUGGAGUCGGCCAUCAGGUGGGGACAGUCAGGCCAGGGGCCACAUCCUUCCCCCACGACGUUCUAGGUUGUCCCACUUUUGACCUGGAGUCCUGCAUUCCGGUGGCGUAGGAUUCCUGUGUGGUAAUAUAGUCACGCCAGUGGGGGGUGAACUUCUCCAGAGCCUUCCUACAAUACUUAUUUGCAGGGGCUUGGGGUCUGGGCCUCUCAAAGUGGGUCGUGGGGGGACCCUCCCUGUCUUGCAGGUGGGGAAAGGGAGGCAUUGAGGUGUCUUGCCCCAGGACCCACAGGAAUCCGUAGAAAAGCUGAGGAUAGAACCUAGGAGUCCUGGCUCCUAGCCCCCCCUGCUCUAAGCCACUAGACCCCACUCCCCUCCCAGAGCUGGGGAUAGAACCCAGGAGUCCUGGCUCCCUCUUCCCCCUACCCUUCCUUCAGCGCUAACCAUUAGAUCACACUCCCACUCAGAAUCCAGCUCUCCUGACUUUGCCAAGUGCCUUCCCCACUGUGCCGCCCUGCCUGGCUGGCUGUUUGUAAUGUUUCGUUCAUUUACGCUGACUGGGACAGAUUCCUUGGCCCAGGAUAUAAAUCCUCCCCCCUGGUGAACAGGAAGUGGGGCAGGAUCUGACUUAGGGACCAGAAUAGCACAGCUACCAGUGGAUGGUCCUGUUCUGCUAGAGCCUUUGGCUAUAGAGCACUGAGGCUCUGUCACUUUCUAGCGCAGGCUGCCGGGGCUGGUACUGUGAUUGGAUCUGCUCUACACAGGCAGGAAGGGAGCUGUCACGUGAACGGAGCAGGGCAGUACCGGGUGGAUAGGGACUGUGGCCAGUGAAAGCUGCGGAUCAGCGUGCAGCCCCGUUACGUUCUCCCUCUCUGUGCCUGGUCCGCAGACAAUCUGGCACAAGCUGUAGCAGCUUCUGCUUUUAGCUCCAGAGGUGUGGCCAUCACACCAGGACUCCUGGGUUUUCUUCCCAGCUCUGUGACAGGGAGGUGUCCCUUCCAUCUCUGUGCCUCAGUUCCCCCCCACUGAAAUGGAGGGAAUAUUGACCCAGCCUGGUGAACAACAGGGGACGAGGGCAGUGCAAGCUGACAAUGUUUGUGGUGAGGAUGUGGCAGGGCACGUAGUGUGGUGAGGGUUGGGGAAAAGCAGCCAGAUCUGGAUGCUAGCAGGAGAUCCCCUGGGAUGGGGGUUGCUUCUAAGAUCUCCCUGAUCCCUGUUCUUGCACUAGAUCACAGCAGGGAUCCCUGCCAUCUGGGGUGAUGUCAGCCCAGGGCUUCAGGCGUGGAGGGGAGAUUCGGAAGUGUGGCCUGUGUCUGUGUGGUUUGGGGACCGUCUGACUGGAGCUUGAGCUCCCAACUUUUCCCUUUGGCUCCCAGUGUCGGGGUGGCAGGUGUCAGCACCCUCGCAUGUGAUGAGUUGAACCAGUCUCUGCUUUGCAAAGGAGGGCUGGGGUCCUUCCCAUGCCCGACCUCAGACCCUUCCCAAAUAAUUUCCCUUUAACCCUUUCACUCCCGCUUACCCACCCUAGCUCAGACACUGGGGCCCGUGGAUUGAUUUGGCCCAGCCUGAGCCAGUGCAGAGCCAUGGCAUGAUCUUCGAUCCACAUGGCAAGGGUGGGCAAGAGAGACUCGCAGACCGGGCCGAGCUUUUCCUGCCAGCUCCUCACUGACAGAUGGUUUAGUUUUGUGUAGAGAAAUGCUGUGCGCGGACCUGGGAUCAAUUGGUGCUAUUCCAUAACCCCAACCCUCGGGUGGCGGCGGGGGGGGGGAAAGGUUGGGGUUGUGUUUUUUUUGGUUUUUGGUAACUUGAAACUUUUUUUGGCCUGUUCUCCUCCGUGUUCUGUGUCCUUGUGAUCGCAGCAUGGUUGCUGGCGGGGGGGGGGAGGACAGAGAGGGGCUGCAGACCUGGCGGCCAGCUGCGAGAUAAAGGGGUUUAAAAGAGAGCGGACAGUGCUGAGAAAUAUUCAAGAAAGGGAUCUGUUGUGUCCAGAGGGAGGGAGGGCUGGGUUUCUCCAGCCCUCCUCCUAGACUUCGUUCUCCAGCACCCCCAGAGAGGGGGGGGGAUGGUGGAAGAUGGGUGUCCUACUUACUAGAUUUCUUUCCUCAGGGGUACUUUUUAAAAAAAAAAGUGUUUUUUGUUUUUUGUUUUUUUUCCAAGAGGCCUUUUUUCCUUUAACCAACAAAAAGCUCUCAAAGCAGGAUUCAGUAAGGAAACUUUACCCACUUCCAACCAGGCCUACAAGUUAUGACACGCCACUCAUAUGACCAGUCAUUGCAUCACACUGGAUCUAGAAAGGCAGCGGGGAAUUUCCUGUUCAGACCGCCUGUAGGUUUGUGUGUGUGUGUGGAGCUGGUUUUUCAAGGUGUGGGUGGGGUAUGUGUCAGCCUGACUCAUUUAACCCUGUAAAGGGGAACUGAGAGGAGACUGUCUUGUGCUGCUUGCUCUUAAAAAUCAAAUAAAAGUUUAAAAAUAAUUAAAAAAAAAUAACCCUACGAAAAUCAUAGACUCUGGAGGGAUUUUAUUUCCUCCUCAGUCUGGGGGUGGUGGAGGGAAGUUUCCUUUACUCAGAGUUUUGAGUUAUUUGAACUAAUCAGUGUAAGGUAUGAUUAUUAAAAUUCUUGAUCUGAACUGCUGAAGAUCGAAAGAGAAGAGCGUGUUGGAGAAGGGGAGAAAUCCUGGUGACCCACCGCCACCCUGGAAUUUUCAAAGGAAAAUUGUCACAUGUUCAAAUCCCAUUGUAAAACACUGACAAUUGGCCAUCUUUCUGUUGUCAUGGCUGGUGGGUCUAAGAUCCCUCCCCACGCCACUGUCUUGUUUAAAAUCAGAUGCCCCUUAAGUUCUCCUCGAGUCUAAGGAGAGGAGGGACAGAUCAGUCUGUGUUUGUGAAUGUCAUGAUGGCUUUAUGUACAUGUAUGAACAAAAAUCAUUCUUUGGUCCCUGAGUUUGCUAGUUGCCUGCAGAGGAAACUAGCAAAUGGAUUAAAACAAAUGGGGGGGGGGAAACCCUACACAGUUGAGACAUUUCUUUUUAAAUGUUACUCAUGUGUCUUGAAUACUUGUAAUUUAUAUCUAUAGCUCCCCCUUUUUUUAUUGUCUUGGGGGGGGGAAACGCAUGGACUGGGGUUUCCUCCUCUUGUGUCCUUAAGUUUUUGUGUUAAAUAAAAAUCAUUUGUGAAACUGG